AUUGAACGCUGGCGGCAGGCUUAACACAUGCAAGUCGAGCGGGGUGAUGGUGCUUGCACUAUCACUUAGCGGCGGACGGGUGAGUAAUGCUUAGGAAUCUGCCUAUUAGUGGGGGACAACAUCUCGAAAGGGAUGCUAAUACCGCAUACGUCCUACGGGAGAAAGCAGGGGAUCACUUGUGACCUUGCGCUAAUAGAUGAGCCUAAGUCGGAUUAGCUAGUUGGUGGGGUAAAAGCCUACCAAGGCGAAGAUCUGUAGCGGGUCUGAGAGGAUGCUCCGCCACACUGGGACUGAGACACGGCCCAGACUCCUACGGGAGGCAGCAGUGGGGAAUAUUGGACAAUGGGGGGAACCCUGAUCCAUCCAUGCCGCGUGUGUGAAGAAGGCCUUAUGGUUGUAAAGCACUUUAAGCGAGGAGGAGGCUCUUUUGGUUAAUACCCAAGAUGAGUGGACGUUACUCGCAGAAUAAGCACCGGCUAACUCUGUGCCAGCAGCCGCAGUAA
rnacentral:rRNA from 1 species